GGAAACGGGGUCUAAUACCGGAUACGACCAACCUCUGCAUGGGGUGUUGGUGGAAAGUUUUUUCGGCCAGGGAUGUGCUCGCGGCCUAUCAGCUUGUUGGUGGGGUAAUGGCCUACCAAGGCUUCGACGGGUAGCCGGCCUGAGAGGGUGACCGGCCACACUGGGACUGAGACACGGCCCAGACUCCUACGGGAGGCAGCAGUGGGGAAUAUUGGACAAUGGGCGGAAGCCUGAUCCAGCAACGCCGCGUGAGGGAUGACGGCCUUCGGGUUGUAAACCUCUUUCAGUACCGACGAAGCGCCGAUGAUGGUGGUGACGGUAGGUACAGAAGAAGCACCGGCCAACUACGUGCCAGCAGCCGCGGUAAUACGUAGGGUGCGAGCGUUGUCCGGAAUUAUUGGGCGUAAAGGGCUCGUAGGCGGUUUGUCGCGUCGGGAGUGAAAACACCGGGCUUAACUCGGUGCUUGCUUUCGAUACGGGCAGACUAGAGGCAUGCAGGGGAGAACGGAAUUCCUGGUGUAGCGGUGAAAUGCGCAGAUAUCAGGAGGAACACCGGUGGCGAAGGCGGUUCUCUGGGCAUGUCCUGACGCUGAGGAGCG
rnacentral:rRNA from 1 species